AACGUUUGCGUAAAUAAAAAGACCCUCAGCCAUGUAAGGCCAUGUUCCUUUGAAGGCCAACUAUCAAAAAGUCGCAGUUAUCGUCAUGUGAAGAUAUUUUCCUUCUACUACACACUUAGAUCCAUCAAACUUAUGGCCAAAAACGCGGC